rnacentral:lncRNA from 1 species
GAAAUAAGAAAAUACUGCAAAAAAAAAAAAAAAUUCCCUCUACAUUUGUGUGUGUCAUGGAAGGUGAGCAGUGUUUAACUUACUGUUGAGAAACACUGUAGGCACAAACCUUGAGGCUCCUCUGCUCACUGCUUAUAGAGAGUGAACUGGUGUUAGCAUGAAUGUGACUGAUUCUGGUGAUGAACUGCCAUUUACACAGUCCUUCAUGGAUUGGCUCCUGUGGUAUGGCCUUUUCCUCUUUGGAAAGAGCAAGCGUGCCUGGGCCAGGUGCUUCCAUGGUGAUAGUGCAGGUGGGGAUGUGCUGGAUGCCUGUCAUGCUCUGUAGUGGUGUGGCCAAGACCCAGUGUGACCUGGCACUGGGCUCCAGCUGGAGCUUAGGUGAUGUGGCCCAGAGGUAGCAAGAUGGUGACAGCUGUCUCAUGUGUACUGUGCAACAUCACUGCAGGGAAGAUGAGACAAAACAGGAUCAGACAAGAUGGCGGUUGCUCAGGACUAGGAGGAAAACAGAAACAUCUCUGCACUUAGAAAACCUUAAAAUGUAUUACAUAGAGGGGCUGGCUCAGGUAAGAGAAGAGGCCCAGGGAGAUUCAGAGGAGAUUCUGCAGGCACAAAAUCGAGCUCAGAAAGGAUGGCAAUUAUUUUUUGUUGUUCUGAUCUUCUAGCCUGAUGUCCAGAAUGUGGGACAAUGUUCACAACAUAAGAACCUGGGGACAUAAAAAGUAUCUUCUGUGGCUUUUUAAUUUUAUCCAUUGUUACCUUUUCCUUCUUCCACAUGGAGAAGUAUGAGCAGGGAAUUUCUUUCUGUUGCGAAGCAGCUUUCCUAUGAACAUUUUAAUACAGUUAGAUUUAUAAAUCAAUGGCUUUUUAAGUGCACAUAUUCACCUCCUGGGGGUGGAAUUGUGUAUUCAUAAGCAGAUUAUAAAAAUGCAUUUUUAUAACCCUCCGAAAACAACCUAGCUUUAUCUAGAUUGGAAAGGAAAUAGAGCUGAGCUCAAAUGGC